CAACCAACAAGAGCUGCUAACUCUAGUGUNUGAGCSUAAAACCUCAGUCCCCUUA
rnacentral:tRNA from 1 species